ensembl:lncRNA
CAACAUUCUCAGAGGGCGGAGCCAGAGAGCAGUGAGUGGUCAGACCAUAGAUAAUAUAGAGGACAGCGCGCUAGCUAGCUAGUCUAUGUAUAUCUAUGGUCGGCACGUCUGGUAGCAUCUUUGGCUGCUGUUGAUCUUGUUUUUGGAGUAAAACACGGUGGAAGUUGAAUUAGUGAGGAUGACUCCUGCUCCUGUCAUCUCUAAGCUCCUCACACAUCUUUACCUGCACAUGAGGAAAAUCACUGCUGUAGAAUGCAGAUGUUCAGAAGGAGAUGAUGCCACAUCUGGUCCAGCUGAUGGAAGGUCUUGAAGUUCUCUGACUGGCCUCAACUGAAGAUGGUCCUCUCUCUGGAUUUAAGGUUCAAAUGUUCAGUAACAAACUCCACCAAUGAGCCAACAGGGAAGCUUUAGGUUUAUUAAAUGUUGCUAUGAAGGUAUCGCUGUUUUUCUUUGUGAAUGCAAUGUGCUCCAACUGAAACUUGAAUUAGAACUUAGAAGUAAAUCCUUCCAUCUGAAAGGAUUUAGUUGCAUUAAUAACCUCAUAACAUUCUAAUUUUUAUUCCAGUCUUGGUUGGAAAUAGAAUCUCUGUAUUGAUUCAGGUAAAAACUGAACUUCACAGCAUGUUGGAGCAAAACAACCAGAUGAAAACUGUGAUGGUGUUGGAUUGUCAGACUGUAAUGUUGCAGCUCAAAGCAGCUUUUCUAGCUCAGUUCAUUCUGACAUUCAGCUAUGAAUCAACACAGCAGAUGGUGAUCCAUGCUGUGGAAGUCUCACAUCUCCUGAUUUAAUGGAACUGCUUUGCACUUUUUACACUGUUUAUUCACCAACACUUUAUUUUAUAAAAGUCCCAUCUAGCUUUUAUGAGGAAUGUGUUGUUUUAAUUUCUCUGUGAAUAACUGCAGUCUAAUGUAACAGCUGGAGUUGUAACAUCUGUCCUGAUAUUGAUCAUGAAGUAUUGAUCAGAAUACUUAUGGUUAGCAGUCAUCCCUGAAGUUUACAUGAAAAUCUUUACUUGUGUUGUGAACUUUGGUAAGAAGCAGAAACGUUAGCGUUGCCAUGGAUACAUGAGUGUUAAAUUCUGUCCAUGUUUCCAUUUUGGGAAAUGCAGUCCAGUUCCAGAAUGUGGAGGAAUUUAGUCUCACAAUCACAGACAACAAAUAUUAUCUGAAAGUCGGGUUAUUGUUGUUUAUCAGCACAAUACAAAAAGAUUAAUGUUAGAAAUAUUCCAGUUAAUACUCUAGAAUAGCAGGAUUUAUGUAAAUUUACCUCAAUAAUAUGAAUGUUCAGGUUAAGAUUGUACAGUGAUAUUUAUUAUGUAAGUUUAACUGAUUAAAGUUUGACUCUGCACUACAAUAUUAUUUAAAUUGACAUCAUUAUUAUAAUAUUUAGGGUCAGACCCUACAGUAUUGAGAUUAAGAAAUCAAAUAUUCUUUAAAAUGUAAAUACACUGAACUCAUUUGGAUAUAUUUAAGUGAGACUCUACAAUAUUAUUUGACACAAAUCUAUCUAAAUCAAAGUUUUAAUCAUUUUUACUCCAAACAUUGGCUGAACUGAUUUAAAUAUUAAAAUCACUCCUUUCUUAUCCUCUGCUGUACGUUCAAACCUGAGGCCUUAAAUAGAAACACACAAGUAUCUGAUUGAAGGAACUUCUGCAGAGUCCUGGUUCCAGAACAUGAUGAUAGAAUUAUAGACAAACUUUAACAAAAGCUGCCUGAGAGUUUACAGGUUUUUAUGUUAGAUUUCUUCAGUAAUUUAAUGAGAAUUAUCAGCAAAAAUCAAGUGUUCAUUUGAUGAACUUCAUUUCCUAAAACAUCCAGAAUUGGAGCUCAUACCUUUUAGAGCUGUAAAGUUUCUGCUCCUUCAAAGUUCACAACACAAUGAAUGAAUUCCUAAAACACUCUCAAUGUUGGAGAGCGUUUGUGAUGCUGAAGCAGUGACCAGUUUUUCUGUUUCUUCUCUGGAGAUGCACAAUGAGGGACGUCUGCAGCGACUGAGAAAGAGUCUCACCACAUCCUGACAUGAGGAAAAAGACUUUAUUGAAGACUGCAAUGAGAAAAACUAUCAGACAGCAGACGGCUGCAUUCAAGGCUACAGGAGGAGCCCUACGAGGACGAGCCGGUCCACCUGAUGGAGGCCAGUCGCUGCGGUUCAAAGCCAACACCGACUACGUGGACUUCUACCACGCGGAGGCCUUCAAACCGGACCAACAAGUUCAGCGAGUCCCCGACUCGUGGGUCUGAGGACGCCGCCGAGCCUCGGUCCAGCCGGCCACCUGUCUGUGGGUGUUUGAGUGCUGAGAGGUUUGUGGAUGCAUGUGAACGUUCUGUGUUGAAACAGCAGCUUUGGACUCAGUAACGCUGGGAAAAACCAAGAGCUCCUUUAUUUGUGACUUCCACUAAAAAAACUGAUGAAAAUAAG